GGAGGUUUGGGAAUCAUCAGGGCAGUGGAUGUUUUCUGUUUAUUCACCAGUGAAAAAGAAACCUAAUAUUUCAGGUUUUACAGACAUUUCACCAGAGGAAUUGAGGCUUGAAUACCAUAACUUCUUAACCAGCAAUAACUUACAGAGUUAUCUAAAUUCUGUCCAACGUUUAAUAAAUCAAUGGAGGAACAGGGUAAAUGAACUGAAAAGCCUCAAUAUAUCAACUAAAGUAGCUUUGAAAUGCUUUUGGAAGAUAUAUACCCACCUGUCUCCAAAGAUCUAUGGUCCCGACUGUAGCAAGUUCAUUAUCUUUGUAAAUAAAGUUAUGAUGUUUCUACACCCAUUAAAAA
rnacentral:sRNA from 1 species